UUUGGUGUCAGGAUUUAGAGCCUGUUGCAUUUAUGUCAGACAUUUACCCUCAAACGUGCUGUUUAGAGUAUAUAUAGAGCUUUUAAAAUGUAUUAUUAUUAUUUUAUGGUGCUGUUUCGACCGUUAUAAUGACCUUUAAUUCUGUCUCUGUGUAGAUUAAAAGAGUGAGGUGCUGAUGGAGAACAUCAGAGUUCAGACGGAUUUUGAGUCUUUAAACCUGGAAGAUGGACGCACAUCUUCAUCAUUAUCUUCAUCCUCUUCUCCCUCCUCAGUGUGUGGUGAGCAGGACGUGGAGGUGGUGCGGAGGUGUGCUCUCGGGUUACACAGCCUCAAGGGUGUGUGUGUGUUCGGAGCUCUGAGAGUGUGUGUGCUGUGUGAUAACUUCAUCACCGACAUCGAGCCGCUGAGGCAGUGUGAGAACUUACUGAAGCUCGACCUCAAAGGCAACCAGAUCACUCAGCUACCUGAAGCUUCAUUCUGGAAGAAUCUGAAGGCUUUACAGCUGCUGUUUCUGCAUGAUAAUGAUAUUUCUGUGAUGAGUGAUGUUUCAGGUCUGAGUGUUUGUCCAUCUCUGAGUGCUUUAACUCUGUAUGAAACGCCACUCAGUCAGAUGAGAAACUACAGACACUGUGUCAUUAACAGCAUUUUCAGCCUGAAGGCCCUGGACCAUCACGUUAUCUCAGAUGAAGAGAUCAUUGAAAACUGGCAACUUCCUCACAGAUUUAAAGCCAUGACACCAAAUUUAUCGAUCAAUCUGUAUUCAUCAGUAAACACGGAUUCAGAUGAGGUGAAAGUGCUGCGUGGAAUAAUUUCAGAAAUAAAUAAAGUCCAAGCUGCAAUUUCUCCAACACUCAUCAUCCAGAAGUGGAUUAGAGGCCAUCUGACCAGGAGACGUCUGGGAUUGUGUGGAGCACCAGUUCCUGUGAAAACGUUAGUGAGGAAUGUGACUCGUGUGGGUUCUGUGUGGGACAUCAGCAGAAGACCAUGGAUUCAGGACAUGAUGAGCUUUAGAUCUUUCCACUGCAGGACACUGACGGACCUCAAACCACCUUGUAACACUCCUCAGCUGAGUAGCCAUGGAGACAAACUCAAUAUCAGAUUUAUGGAACGUCACGAUGAGGUGAUGGACUUGGAGAGUUUUCGUCUUUUUGGCUUUAAGGCCAUGACGUACUUGUCCAAGCCGUGUGUAGACAUGCUGAUAUCCCAAAAAAGGAAUAGGCAGGACAUCCGGGAUGGCAUCACCCAUUUCCACACACAGAAAUCCAACCCCCCCACUGCCCCACGGCCACGCCCACCUAACAUCACUGCACAGAAGCGCCUCGUUGUCCGACACCAUGACUGUCUGAGCCUUGCCAUGUUCCAAGCAAUAGAGAGAGCGUAUGAGGAGAGAGAGAAGGAGGAGGGACUGAGGGAGCGAGCCAAGCGAGUGAUGGAGGUGCAGAAUCAUCGUAAUGAAGCCCGAGGUCGCCGUGAAGGAUUCGUGGAAGCUCAAAGGACAGGGACACUACUGAGGCAUGAACAAGAGCGAGACAAACUGGAGAAAACACUCAAAUUGCAGAGAACCAGGCAGGAGCAGGAGGUGCAGCUAGUCCAUCAGAAGUACCUCAGGUUCCUGGUGGAGAAGCAGAGGAACAUGAUGGAGCAGGAGACAGUGAAGCGCUUCAGCCGACAACAUGGUGCUUUGACUAAGGCCUUCAGUAAAUACUGCACAGGACGCAGACUCAGUGAGACUCAGCAUGACAGGAGACGACAGAUCGCUAUCGGCACACAGCACUCUGGCUCUCAGACAGUGCAGGGACACCUGGAGAACAGGAAGCCGAAUAAACCCAUGAUGUCUUGGUUAUCCAUAAGCCCUCUACUACUUCAGAUACAGUGUCUCUCAGACAGGGGGAAUUCAGGUGAAAUCCAGCCAAUACUCAGUGGACGUCCAGUAGACAGACAUGCUAAUCACAAUUUUCCCAGCACAGGAAAGUCCUCAAGAUGUAGGAAUUUCCAUGUUCCGGUCUCAGAAACAGAGAGAAAAUGACAACAACUGGUCCACAUCUUGCUGCAUCACAACAUCUGCCCCCCAACCUCCCUGGCAUGCAUCAUUUUCAUUAUUGAAAAUGUGUAAUUCCUUAUAUAACUGUAGCUCUAACAAUAAUGCAUCUGCAAAUCAUAUGUUUAUAUUAAUGCACUGGUUCUAAUACAUUAGAACCAGUGCAUUAAUAUUACAUUACUACAUUUCUUUAGUAACAGCUCAUUCACAGGGACUUGUUUGCUCCACAUAAAGGGAUUAAAAAGUUGUCACAUCCACCACGGACAUUUCACCACCAUGCCACCAGAGGGCAACCUUCCCCAAAUUUUAGAACUCUUCCUCAUUCCCUACACGUAUUUACUGUCACAAUCAUUCAUCCAUCCAUCCACUUUCUGUACCGCUUAUCAUUACUGGGUCACAAGGAACCUGAAGCCUAUCCCAGGGAGCAUGGGGAACAAGGCGGGGUACACCCUGGAUGGCGUGCCAAUCCAUUGCAGGGCUCAAUAACACACACAUUCACACACCCAUUCAUACACUACGGACCAUUUGGACAUGACAAUCAGCCUACAAUGCAUGUCUUUGGACUGGGGGAGGAAACCGGAGUACCCAGAGGAAACCCCUGAAGCACGGGCGAGAACAUGCAAACUCCACACACACAGGGUGGGAAUCAAACCCCCGACCCUGGAGGUGUGAGACAAACACGUUAACCACUAAGCCACCAUGCCCCCUGUCCCAAGCAUAUAUAAAACAAAUGGACACUAAUGCAUGUUUGAUCUUUGUGUAUGCUUCUUGUUCUUUCAUGGUAUCUCAUUUAUGCUCAUCAAAUCACUGCAAAACCCUGAUGUCCUGGGCUCUCCAUGGUUAACCACUCAUGAACCAAACAUAACGUGGAGAGAAGGAACACGCGGGACGACACAUGGAGCUCGUGAAAGCAGUGCAGUUUACUAACAAAACUGAACACAUAAGGGAACAUCACACAGAUUAACUUUAAAAAGCUCUCCUCUACAGCUGCAAACAAAACACUCAAAGAAAAUAAAUAAAACUUACACUUAACACAUAAAAAACCCGUUACAGCAAGUAGACUAAAGAGACAGAGAGAUAAAACUAUGUACCAUUCACCUCAACAGUAAUUUCUCAUCUGGCCAGAAAAUGGCCAGCUGUGGAUGACCCUCCCUUCUUCCCCUAAUUGAUAUUAUGCUUUAGGCUGGACAGAUAUGAUUUGAUUGACCAUUUUGUUGAGAUUCAAAAUCUAAUCUUUUUGUCCAAUACAUAUACAUUUUUGGAAGAAUAAUGAAUCAUAAUCACCAUAAUCACACUAUCCAGUGUCACCCAGAUGAAGACGGGUUCCCUUAUGGUUCCUCUCAAGGUUUCUUCCUCAUAUCAUCUCAGGGAGGUUUUCCUCAACACUGUUGCCACUGACUUGCUCAUUAAGAUUAAAAUUCAUAAAUAUAAAAUUUUUAUCUGGAAUUUAUACGUAUAGCUGUAUUUCAGUAAAGCUGCUUUGUGACAAUGUCCAUCGUUAAAAGAGCUUUACAAAUAAAACUGAAUUGAAUUGAAUAUGUAGGACAGAACAAAGGGCAUGGUCUGGUUAUGGUAGGACAGCUGAGACACACACACGCACGCACACACACACGCACACACACGCACACACAUGCACGCACGCACACACACACACACACACACACACACACACACACUCAAGCGUCACCUGUGAGUGUGAAUGGAUAAUUUAUUCCACUUCAGUAUCUCUC